GCUGGUAGUGUACCUCAGUACUGGAGCAUGCGUGAGGCCCUGGGUUCAGUCCCCAGACCCAGAAACAAACAAACUAUUGUCUCCAGGAGAAAUAAUCAACAUUUGUGUUUUGGAGAUAUUUUUGUUCUAAUAAGUGUACUAAUCCAAAAAUCCUCCCGGUGGAAGGGAAACCUCCAUUGGAUCAUGCAUCCAAUCUGGCUCCCAGGAUGGGUUUUCCUUCCCCAGCACUGGGCACCUGGAGGAAGCCUGUUGGGAAAACAUAACGGCAGCCGCACCCCAGAGAAAAACCCCAGCAUGGCAUCUAACGACCCUCCUUCUCUUCUUUGUUUCUUUCAUUGGCGCGAAACGUUCCCGCCAGUGCCAAUGUUCAAAUCGUGCUGAUGGGAAGCCUUAGCCCCAAUUAGAAUUAACUUCUUGGGCUCCGGAACUGACAUAUGGAAGAGCUUGCCAAUAAACGGGCGACCUGUUAUCUACCUCAGCCCCUGCUACCUCUCUUAGACCUAUGUAAACACACAGCCUUUUGUAAUAAAGCGGAAACCUCUUUGGUAAUCUGUGUCGUGUGAUGCGGCGUCUUCCCAUCUUACAAAGCCAGGAACUUUAGAACAGGAAUUGGGGUCCUGUCAGGGAGGGAGGAAGCCAGGAGCGAGAGCACAUCCUCUGGGAUGGGUUGGGGAUAGAAAUGAACUUAUGAACUGCCACUAGAACAAGUAGAGACUGUGCUGGCAUGGCAGGAGCAUGGAGUCAAAUAGAG
rnacentral:lncRNA from 1 species